GUUCUAUCAAUGGAUAUAAUGUAAAGACAAUUCAAGUAAGGGUUUAUUAUUUCUUGUCUGGAAAUAUCCAAAUUUUUAUGCCCAAUACCCCAUAAAUAGUUCUAACUGUAUACGAACAAUAAUCAAUUUUAGCUCCAAUGGUUUGUAGAGGAACUCUACCCUCUCUAAUCCAUUCGACGCGUGCAAUUUCUUUUCCGUCAAGACGUCCCGCAAUUUGCACUUGAAUUCCUUUUGUAUCUGUCUGUUCAGUUAAUUCAAUAGCUUUUUUCAUUGCUUUGCGAAAUGAAACUCUAUUCUUUAAUUGUCCGGCUAUAAAUUCUGCAAGAAUAGUAGGGUGCCCAUAGGGGUUUGUAAUUCUUGUAAUAGUAAUAUUGAGUUUUCGAUUCACACAAUUAAGUUCUUUUUGUACAUUCAUCUGCAAUUCUUCGAUUCGUUUAGGUCUACUUUCUAUUAAUAAUUUUUGGAAUCCCAUAUAUAUUAUGACCUGAAUCACAUCAAUUCGUUUUUGAAUCUCUAUACGUGCAAUUCCUUCAAUACCAGAAGAUAUUUUCGCAUUUUUUUUUACAUAAUUCUUGAUACAGUUUCUUAUUUUUUGAUCUUCUUGUAGACCCUCAGAGUAAUUUUUUGGUUGUGCAAACCAAAGAGAAUGAUGACUUUGGGUUGUACCAAGUCUGAAACCAAGUGGAUUUAUUUUUUGUC
rnacentral:misc_RNA from 1 species